CAGGUUUUCACAGAAUUGCUGUAGCAGCUGUGUUGCAAAUCAUCAUAGGAAGAAAGGAGAAACCAGGAAACAGGAAAGCCGUUGGGCGGCUGUUGGCAAUAGUUAGGCAAGAGAUGGUGCUGGCCCAGUGAGAUGGUGAUUGGAUUCUAGAAGUUUUGAAACAAGAGUCAACUGCCCUUGCUCUUGGAUUGGAUAUGGUGAAUGAGAAAAAGCCAAGGAUGACUGUGCGAUUUUGGCCUGAGCCACAGAAAGGAUAGGGUUGCUGCCAGUUGAAAUGGAGCAGGAUGUGUGAGCAGGUUUGGACGUGUUGAGUUUGAGGUGCCUUUAGACACCAGGUGGAGACUGGAGAGAGACCCUGGGAGCCCUCCACAGGUGAAUGGUUCCUAUUUAAAACUGGGGGAGAAGCUCACCAGAGAAGAGGAGAGGACCAGCCCUGAGCCCCGAACACGAAGUGGUGAGGCCAGGGAGAAGAGGCGGAGCAGGCAAAGGAGCACUGAGACCCAGUUCCUUUCAGCCUGCACUUCUGUAACAGCUCAGUGUGCAUGGGUUCCUGUGCGUCAUCACCCUGCAGAAGUGUGCAGAGAUGAAGGGAGCUCUGCCAAGUAAAGUGAAUUUUGAAAAGGGAUGUUUUCGAGUACUUGAAAAUCACUUGAGAUGCAAAGACAAGGCCACAUUUUUUCCUCCUUCACUCCCCUGGAAUCCCUCUGAGGUGAGGUAAGGUACCUGCUGGGGGCGGUGCUGCUGGUCUUAUUUACCCAACAACCAGAGUGUUGUCCUACUCCUGAAAAUAAAGUUGAUGUUCCAGUUAUGCUGGCUUUCCUCUCCUCUGGAUCAGCAAAUCACAGGAACCAAGACAAUGUUCCUUAAUGACAUACCUGGCUCUCAGGUCCUCCUUGCAUUUCUAAAAGUGAAGAUUCAUGCAGAAAACUGUUCAGAAACAUGACUGACUUUCAGAAGCAGAGUGGAUACUUCAAGGAUGCCUAAGUGAACUUGUAAAAAAGUACUCUGCCAGGAAGUGAGCCCCCGGCUAUAGAGCAGGUGCUGAGGCUCUGCCCACUAGUUACUGAAGCAGAGUCUGGGUGGCCAUGAAGGCUGGUGGUCCAGUGGGUUUCAUUCUGAAACAGGACUUCUUAGAUUCACUUCACCCAGAUGUCAGAGCCCUGCCUGUUUAGAAGUGAUUUAGGCAGUGCAGCCUAGUGGUUGAAGUGUACGCCCUUGACCUAGGCAGCCUGGUUUCCAUAUUCCAGCUUCAUGACCUUGGGUUUCCUCCUCUAGCAAGUCAGCAUGUUAGUAGUAAUAUCUCACUCUGGGUUGUUGGCA
rnacentral:lncRNA from 1 species